CACUGUUUUAUGUUUCAUUCAGACUUUGAUGCUGAGAGUAUUUAAUAUUUGUUGUGCAGAUUUAAUAUCAUCUAUGAUACUGUAUAACAGGUCAAAGGUCAUCUAAUAGGCAAUGACCAUCUAAAUCUGGUUAAAGAUUUCAUUAUAGAGCAGGUAAAUAGAAUUAGCAGAGUUUAAAAUCAUGUGUACUGAAAAUCUGAUGAAUGCAUUUUGGGACUUAUUAUGAAACGAAUGAUUUCAGCCUUCAUGCAAUAACAGUUUUAUUAUUAUUUUUAAAGAUGAAUGUUUUGUGCCAUUUUUUACAUUAGUCCAUUGCUGCUGUUGAGUCUGAUAUCAGUUUGUGAGUCUCUUCUCUCUUUCUCUGCUGGAGUUUGUGUUUAUUUGAGUGUGACGGAGGUUUUUGUACGACGUUUUCACUAGAAUGAAGCACUGUGGUACACUUUUGGUGGAGGCACUAAACUGACAAUCGUUGGUCCCGCAGUGAAGCCCUCCGUGUCUCUGCUGCCUCCCUCUUCUCUGCAGAUCUCUGGAGACUCAGCCGCACUGCUCUGCCUGCUCAGCUCUUACUCUCCACAGGGGGCGCAGGUGAGCUGGACGCUGUACGGGUCAGAGGUCACCGAGGGGGUUCAGACCAGCGCAGAGAGCGAGCGGGACGGACGCUACAAGCCGCAGCAGCGUCCUGAGCCUCAGCAAAGCACGCUGGGAAGCCGGCGAGCGCUUCGUCUGCAGAGUAACACAUGACGGAGCUGAUCACGAGACCUCGUUCCUCAAGAGCUCCGAGUGCUGAUGUUUCUCCAGUGAAGAGCAGCAGGAUUCACAGCAGUCUCCUGAUUUACAGCUCAAUACUCAAGCAGUCUUUCAAUGUGCUGCCAUUGCUGUUCAUUCAAUAAAGCUUCUGAACGCCUUA